GGGUGCCCCCCUCAUCGGGGUGCCCCCCUCUCCCAAAGCACAUGCACCAUAUUCUCCCACAACACCAUUCAUGGACAUGUGAUGGCUGGGAUCAUCCCAGAAACAAUCUGGACUUCUCUUCUAGCCUGAGUUAUUUGAUACGACCUUAACAGUAAAGUAAGCUCUUAAAGCUAGAGAGCUUAAAGUGAGUGCAGAUGUUAUGACUCAUUCACCAGAGCAUGAGGAAGCUUUUGCAUCAAUUUUCUUCACGUCUCAGGCAAUGUUUGAACCAGGCUGCCCGGCAAGGAUCUGCACGAGCAGCAGCGCUGGGAGGAUGAAGACGAAAUGAGCGCGGACAGGAGGGCCACCCAGCUACCAGAGCAAACGCCUACCAGCUGCUACUGGGGACACCAAACAAGUGGCAUCGUAGGCUCUGACGGCGAGAAAAAGAAAACAACAAAAGAUAGAAAAUGGGCCCAUUUACCGCUGAAAUGAAGCAUAAAUACCCAGAAAGACUGUACACGAGGUGAACAGGCAAAGCUUAAUAAAUCUCCUUAAACCCAACCAAGAGCUCCAUUGAGAUAUUUCAACGGCUCCUUCCACUCCUCAGUGCAACUACACCUUAGCAC